rnacentral:rRNA from 1 species
UACGAAGGGGGCUAGCGUUGCUCGGAAUCACUGGGCGUAAAGGGCGCGAUAGGCGGCGACCCAAGUCAGAUGUGAAAGUCCUGGGCUUAACCUGGGGACUGCAUUUGAUACUGGGUUGCUUGAAUUCGGGAGAGGAUAGCGGAAUUCCCAGUGUAGAGGUGAAAUUCGUAGAUAUUGGGAAGAACACCGGUGGCGAAGGCGGCUAUCUGGACCGACAUUGACGCUGAGGCGCGAAAGCGUGGGGAGCAAACAGG